rnacentral:rRNA from 1 species
AGUGAACGCUGGCGGCGUGCCUAAUACAUGCAAGUCGAACGGAGAUUAAGUAGCUUGCUAUUUAAUCUUAGUGGCGCACGGGUGAGUAAUAUAUAGCUAACUUGCCCAUUACUAAGGGACAACAGUUGGAAACGACUGCUAAUACCUUAUACUCCGUAUCUAUAUAAGUAGAUACGGGAAAGUUUUUCGGUAAUGGAUAGGGCUAUAUCGUAUCAGCUAGUUGGUAAGGUAAUGGCUUACCAAGGCUAUGACGCGUAACUGGUCUGAGAGGAUGAUCAGUCACACUGGAACUGAGACACGGUCCAGACUCCUACGGGGGGCAGCAGUAGGGAAUAUUGCUCAAUGGGGGAAACCCUGAAGCAGCAACGCCGCGUGGAGGAUGACACUUUUCGGAGCGUAAACUCCUUUUCUUGGGAAAGAAUUAUGACGGUACCCAAGGAAUAAGCACCGGCUAACUCCGUG